CACCCAACAGCUAGCCUAUAACCCAAGUUCAAUAAACCAUUAUUUAUAACCCCUCAUACACGAAACUAAAUAAACAAACCAUUUUUCCUCCUUAGUAUGGGCGACAGAAAAGGAAUAAUAGAGCUAUAGAAAAAGUACCGCAAGGGAACGCUGAAAAAGAAAUGAAAAAAUUCAGUAAAGUAAUAAAAAGCAGAGACUAAACCUCGUACCUUUUGCAUCAUGACUUAGCUAGCAACCCCAAGCAAAGUGAACUUUAGUUUGAAUCCCCGAAACUAAGUGAGCUACUUCAAGACAGCCCAUUAAGGGGCCAACCCGUCUCUGUGGCAAAAGAGUGGGAAGAGCUUUAAGUAGAGGUGACAGACCUAUCGAACUUAGUGAUAGCUGGUUGCCUGAGAACUGAAUAGAAGUUCAGCCUUUAGACUUCUUAAUACACCACCUUCAAACGUUUUUAAGAAAUCUAAAGAGUUAGUUAAAAGAGGUACAGCCUCUUUUAAAAAAGAUACAACUUUUAAAGGCGGGUAAAGAUCAUAAUUAAUCAAGGUAAAAUGUUUUAGUGGGCCUAAAAGCAGCCACCUAAAGAAAGCGUUAAAGCUCAGACAUACCCACCUCCUUAAAUACCGAUACCUUAUCUAAUCCCCCUAGUCCUAUCAGGCCGCUUCAUCUAGAUAUGAAGGCGUUUAUGCUAAUAUGAGUAAUAAGAGAACAUGACUCUCUCCUAGCACACGUUUAAAUCGGAACGAACACACACCGAAAGUUAUAGGUCCCAAGUAAAGAGGGUAUUGAGGAACAAACCAAACAACAAGAAAACCCCCCAACACGAAACCGUUAACCCCACACUGGAGUGCUCACAAGGAAAGACUAAAAGAAAAAGAAGGAACUCGGCAUACACAAGCCUCGCCUGUUUACCAAAAACAUCGCCUCUUGCAAAAAUAAAGAAUAAGAGGUCCCGCCUGCCCCGUGACAAUAGUUUAACGGCCGCGGUAUUUUGACCGUGCAAAGGUAGCGCAAUCACUUGUCUUUUAAAUGAAGACCUGUAUGAAUGGCAUAACGAGGGCUUAACUGUCUCCUUUUUCAAGUCAAUGAAAUUGAUCUCCCCGUGCAGAAGCGGGGAUACCUUCAUAAGACGAGAAGACCCUAUGAAGCUUUAGACACCAAAGCAGCUCCCGUAAACAUUUCUAAACAAAGAAUAAAACUAGAAGAGCUCUGCCCUAAUGUCUUUGGUUGGGGCGACCGCGGGGAAAAACAUAACCCCCAUGAGGAACAAGAGAACUUCUCUCACAACCAAGAGCUACAGCUCUAAUUAACAGAACAUCUGACCACCAGAUCCGGCAGCGCCGAUCAACGGACCGAGUUACUCUAGGGAUAACAGCGCAAUCUUCUUUUAGAGCCCAUAUCGACAAGAAGGUUUACGACCUCGAUGUUGGAUCAGGACAUCCUAAUGGUGCAGCCGCUAUUAAGGGUUCGUUUGUUCAACGAUUAAAGUCCU
rnacentral:rRNA from 1 species